rnacentral:misc_RNA from 1 species
AGGUUCCGGUAUGGCCUUUAGCAAACUUACGGAUAAUGCGUCCAACACACCUGCCGGAAUUAUCAUGGCCUCAUUGGCACAUGCAUUUGGCCUUUUCGUCGGUGUGUCUACAGCAACCAACAUCUCUAACGGCCACGUCAAUCCCGCCGUCACCUUUGGUGCCUUCCUUGGUGGCAAUAUCUCUCUCCUCCGAGGCAUUCUUUAUUGGAUCGCUCAGCUCCUUGGCUCCACCGUGGCCUGCCUACUACUCAAGUUUUCUACUCAUGGGAUGACAACAUCGGCAUUUGCUUUGUCGUCAGGGGUGAAUGUGUGGAAUGCACUUGUGUUCGAGAUUGUAAUGACGUUUGGCCUAGUUUACACAGUAUAUGCAACAGCCUUUGAUCGUAAUAAGGGUGACGUGGGGAUUAUUGCUCCUCUAGCAAUCGGUUUCGUUGUUGGAGCUAACAUUUUAGCUGGCGGAGCAUUUGAAGGAGCAUCUAUGAACCCAGCCGUGUCUUUUGGACCUGCUUUGGUGAGCUGGGACUGGACCAACCAUUGGGUUUACUGGGUAGGUCCCUUGAUCGGAGGUGGACUUGCUGGAAUCAUUUACAAUCUCUUCUUUAUUACCCGCACUCAUGAGCCGGUGCCUAGCACAUCAGAGUUCUGAACUAAAAGUACUAAGCAUAUCCACCGCUUUUCAUGAUUUCUCUUUAUUCUUUCAUAUUCCAAUGUGUUGGAUUUCAUUGUUAUUGUUGUUGUAAGAUUGGAGUCUGUCUGCUUUGAUCAUGGUUAAUUAUUAGAGGUUGUAGCUUAGUGAAGUUGUCUUAUUUUCUCACUAUUGUAUUGUCUAAUUCCCAUGGCCAUCAUCAUUUGUUUUAUCGUUUUUGGAAUCUGUCUUUUUCCUUUAGCUCUUCUUUCUUGCCCAAAAAAUUAUAAUGCGCAAACCGGAGCUAAAAUGAUCUGCUUGGAGUCUUGUUUGGUUGGAGCUAAAAUUUAACCCAAUGAAAAAUAAUUAUUCAAAUAACUAACCAAUUGUAAUUAGAUUAAUAUAUACUGAGUUGAAUUGAAUUAUAGAAAUCAUAUUUCAGAAUCAAU